UACGGUCAAAUCACGCUGAAACACCGGUUCUCGUACCAUUACCGAAGUUAAGCAGCGUAGAGCCAGGUCAGUACUUAGAUGGGGGACCGCUUGGGAACACCUGGUACUGUAAG
rnacentral:rRNA from 1 species